CGGGGUGUAGCGCAGUUGGCAGCGCACCGUGUUUGGGACGCGGGGGUCGGCGGUUCGAGUCCGCCCACCCCGA
rfam:Ornatilinea apprima strain P3M-1 contig_14, whole genome shotgun sequence.